rnacentral:rRNA from 1 species
GAUGAACGCUAGCGGCAGGCUUAAUACAUGCAAGUCGAGGGGCAGUCCCGCCUUCGGGCGGGAGCGACCGGCAAACGGGUGCGGAACACGUACAGAACCUUCCUUCGAGCGGGGAAUAGCCCAGAGAAAUUUGGAUUAAUACCCCAUAGCAUUAUGGAGUGGCAUCACUUUAUAAUUAAAGAUUUAUCACUUGAAGAUGGCUGUGCGGCUGAUUAGAUAGUUGGUGAGGAACGGCUCACCAAGUCUACGAUCAGUAACUGGUGUGAGAGCACGACCAGUCACACGGGCACUGAGACACGGGCCCGACUCCUACGGGAGGC